rnacentral:rRNA from 1 species
CACGUAGUUAGCCGUGGCUUCCUCAUCUGGUACCGUCAUUAUCGUCCCAGAAAACAGGGUUUUACGAUCCGAAAACCUUCAUCACCCACGCGGCGUUGCUGCGUCAGGGUUUCCCCCAUUGCGCAAUAUUCCCCACUGCUGCCUCCCGUAGGAGUCUGGACCGUGUCUCAGUUCCAAUGUGGCCGAUCACCCUCUCAGGUCGGCUACCCAUCGUUGCCUUGGUAAGCCAUUACCUUACCAACUAGCUAAUGGGACGCGGGCCCAUCUCAAAGCAGAUUACUCCUUUGGUUAAAGUUUCAUGCGAAACUCUAACUUUAUGCGGUAUUAAUCCUCCUUUCGGAGGGCUAUUCCCCUCUUUGAGGCAGGUUGCCCACGUGUUACUCACCCGUCCGCCGCUAAUCCACUUCCCGAAGGAGCUUCAUCGCUCGACUUGCAUGUGUUAAGCACGCCGCCAGCGUUCGUCCUGAGCCAGGAUCAAACUCU